CCUACGGGAGGCAGCAGUGAGGAAUAUUGGGCAAUGGGCGAGAGCCUGAACCAGCCAAGUCGCGUGAAGGAUGAAGGCCCUACGGGUUGUAAACUUCUUUUGUAAGGGAGAAAGUGGGUCCACGCGUGGGCUUAGCGAGAGGACCUGAAGAAAAAGCAUCGGCUAAGUCCGUGCCAGGAGCCGAGGUAAUACGGAGGAUCCGAGCGUAAUCCGGAUUUAAUGGGUUUAAAGGGAGCGUAGGCGGAAUAUCAAGUCAGCGGUAAAAAUUCGGGGCUCAACCCCGCCGUGCCGUUGAAACUGAUGUUCUUGAGUGGGCGAGAAGUAUGCGGAAUUCGAGGUGUAGCGGUGAAAUGCAUAGAUAUCUCGCAGAACUCCGGUUGCGAAGGCAGCAUACCGGCUCCCAACUGACGCUGAGGCACGAAAGCGUGGGGAUCGAACAGGAUUAGAUACCCUGGUAGUC
rnacentral:rRNA from 1 species